rnacentral:rRNA from 1 species
GUCGUCGGUUCGAUCCCGACCAGCUCCACCAGGUCUCAGGCAGGUGAUCAUCGAGGUGAAUGUGAGGCGUCAGGCGUGAGGUACCGCGAGGUAGUUCAGUCCUGACUCUUUACGAGUCGUGUUCUUUAACAAAGUGGAAGAAGUGUAGUACGUACCGAGCCGGUGCGUACUGCAAGUUGUGUGAUUGCAUGGAUCCGGCGCUGAGCUUGUCAGCGUAGCGUCGGAUCGCACAAACGAGUUCGUUCCUGUACGCGGGCCUUCGCGGUGGCAACAUCGAGGAGGGUCCAAGGUUAUAGGAUCAAGCGACUAAGUGCAUGUGGUGGAUGCCUUGGCGAUCACAGGCGAUGAAGGACGUGUAAGCCUGCGAAAAGCGUGGGGGAGCUGGCAAUAGAGCUUUGAUCCCACGAUGUCCGAAUGGGGAAACCCACCCCGCAAGGGGUAUCCCAGACUGAAUCCAUAGGUCUGAGGAGGCGAACCGAGCGAACUUAAACAUCUCAGUA